rnacentral:rRNA from 1 species
UACGAGGGGGCAAGCGUUGUUCGGAAUUAUUGGGCGUAAAGGGCGCGUAGGCGGUGCGGUAAGUCACCUGUGAAACCUCUAGGCUCAACCUAGAGCCUGCAGGCGAAACUGCCUUGCUCGAGUAUGGGAGAGGGAAUGUGGAAUUUCCGGUGUAGCGGAUGAAAUGCGUAGAUAUCGGAAGGAACAUCAGUGGCGAAAGCCGACUUCCUGGACCAAUAACUGACGCUCAUGGUGCGAAAGCGUGGGGAGCAAACAGG